rnacentral:rRNA from 1 species
CCUACGGGAGGCAGCAGUGGGGGAUAUUGGACAAUGGGGGGAACCCUGAUCCAGCGACGCCGCGUGAGUGAAGAAGGAUCUCGGUAUGUAAAGCUCUAUCAGCAGGGAAGAAGAAAUGACGGUACCUGAGUAAGAAGCCCCGGCUAACUACGUGCCAGCAGCCGCGGGAAUACGUAGGGGGCAAGCGUUAUCCGGAUUUACUGGGUGUAAAGGGAGCGUAGAAGGCUGUGCAAGGCUGAAGUGAAAGCCCGUGGCUUAACCGCGGAACUGCUUGGGAAACUGUAGAGCUUGAGUAUGGGAGAGGCAGGCGGAAUUCCUAGUGUAGCGGUGAAAUGCGUAGAUAUUAGGAGGAACACCAGUGGCGAAGGCGGCCUGCUGGACAGAAACUGACGUUGAGGCUCGAAAGCGUGGGGAGCAAACAGGAUUAGAUACCCGUGUAGUC